CGGGAUCGAAUUAGACGUUACUUCCCUAAAGGAGACCCCGAGGUCCUGCAGGCCCAGGUAGAGAGGAUCAUGACCCGAAAGGAGCUGCUGACAGUCUAUUCAUCAGAGGACGGCUCCGAGGAGUUUGAGACUAUCGUUUUGAGGGCUCUUGUGAAAGCCUGUGGGAGCUCCGAGGCCUCGGCUUACCUGGAUGAACUGCGUUUGGCUGUGGCUUGGAACCGCGUGGACAUCGCCCAAAGUGAACUUUUCCGUGGGGACAUCCAGUGGCGGUCCUUCCACCUGGAGGCCUCUCUCAUGGACGCUCUGCUGAAUGACCGGCCUGAGUUUGUGCGCUUGCUCAUCUC
rnacentral:lncRNA from 1 species